rnacentral:other from 1 species
CAUUGAAUGGACGCAAUAGUAACUAGGAUGGUUGCUACUAAGGAAAGACAAUGGACACCUCUGGAUGAGGCAAGGACUGAACAUCAGGAUGAUGUAAAGGACACCGCUCAGGGAACAAGUGAUGAACGCUAACGUGGAUUGUUGGCAGACCAGGAAGGUCAAAAAAGGACACCGCUAGGAAGGCGACGUAAGGAAUAAGCUGACGGAAUACAGCACACUAUCAUGGAUUUGAUGCAUGGAGCACUUUUGUAGCUGGAUUGCUGCGAGUAAGACUAUAACCCCGCAGGGCUUUUGCCCUCGGGGUUUUUCUUUA